UAUGCUCGGUCCCUGGGUGUGCUGUCUAGGUGACGGCUGCUCUGCUUUUGCACCCUGCUCUAGUAGAGGAGGUGGAUGUGGAGUAGGAGGUUGAGGAGGCGGUGACCGUGGAGGCGACGAUGCAUUUGGAUGUCUGCCCUAUCAACUUUCGAUGCCACUUUCUGCGCCUACCAUGGUGACCACGAGUAACGGGGAAUCAGGGUUCGAUUCCGGAGAGGGAGCCUGAGAAAUGGCUCCCACAUCCAAGGAAGGCAGCAGGAGCGCAAAUUACCCACUCCCGACGUGGGGAGGUAGUGUCGACAAAUAACAAUACAGGUCUCUUUCCAGCCCCUGUAAUUGGAAUGAGUACACUUUAAAUCCUUUAACAAGGAUCUAUUGGAGGGCAAGUCUGGUGCAGAGCGACUGACCCGUGCAUGCUGCAGCUGAAACUUCACUAUCGCUAGCUGCUUGCACA